rnacentral:lncRNA from 1 species
AAUUAGUUAGAACGCAUAACUAAGCAUCUACAUCAUAAAUAAUUAAUAAAUUUUGUUAUAUAGUAUAAAAAAAAUUUUAUGUAAGAAAAAAAAAUCUGCCGGGUGUAGGGCUGGAACUCACGAUCUUUGGAUCAGAAGUCCGAAGCUCUAGCCUCUGAGCCACAACUCUUCUUACAAUUUGAUGCACAAUUGCACCUAAUAAUCAUCGCUAAUAAUUAGAAUUAUGUAAUAAAAUAAUGUUUAAAUGUAAUUCGGUUUGGAGAGAAUAAAAAAAGUAAUAAAUGUAUGCUCUUUACUAAUUAAAGUCCAUAAUUAUUAAUAAUGCAACAUUCUGAGCACGCGGCACGCGUGCUGUCGCUGUGCAGUCUCUGUGCCGUCGCGUACAGACGCCCUAGGACGCAUGUCGAGACAGCAACUGGACGGCACAGUGACAGCACGACGUGCGGCACGUCAAGAGGAUGUGUUACAUUAAUCAAAUUUUAAUUGUGAAAAUAGUAAUUUUCAAACUGAUGUACGUUUGAGCAAUCAUCUAUCAUAGGGUACAACUCGUAAUUAAAUCAUUUUGAUAGUACACAGCGCCCUGAAGCUGUUUUUUCCAUAGACAAUUAUCGGUCUCGGGACUUAGCCGAAUUUUAAAAGAUGCGCACGCGUGUCGUCCAAAUGCCCCGUAUAUGAUGCACCUGUGCCGCACGCAUGCAGCACGCAUGCCAGCACCUAGCUUCUUCAAGUGUCUGCACGCGUGCUCCUGGAAUGCCAUCGAAAAGCGGGCACGAGUGCCGAAAUCAUGCAGCACGCGCGUGCCGCCAACGUGCUGUCUCGCGUGUUGGUUCAAAUUUUCGCGCGGAGCACGGUAAUCCAUCAAAAUGACAGCACUGUGCGAGCACGCGUGUCGAGGCACGCAUGCUCACGAAUUGCUCAACGCAUGCAGCGCGCGGUGCUGUCAUAAUGCUGGCACAUUGCCGGCAUGCAAACGUUCGAAAAAUCGGCCAUGGAUCGGCAUUUUGUGUCGCCAAUGUGCCAACAUUUCGUGUCGUCAUAUUGACAGCACUCGUGCUGAGCACGCGUGCUCGCACUAUGCCGCCAACGUGCCGUCCAGCGUGGCGGGAAAAAAAUUUUAAAGAUUUUUGUCCACGCAUGUCGGCACAUUGCCUGCACAUCGACAGCACGCGUGACGAGCACGCAUGCCCCAAAAAUGCCCAGCACGUGAUGUUAUUGGGGAUGUCCCGAGACCGAUAAUUGUCUAUGGAAAAAACAGCUUCAGGGCGCUGUGUACUAUCAAAAUGAUUUAAUUACGAGUUGUACCCUAUGAUAGAUGAUUGCUCAAACGUACAUCAGUUUGAAAAUUACUAUUUUCACAAUUAAAAUUUGAUUAAUGUAACACAUCCUCUUGACGUGCCGCACGUCGUGCUGUCACUGUGCCGUCCAGUUGCUGUCUCGACAUGCGUCCUAGGGCGUCUGUACGCGACGGCACAGAGACUGCACAGCGACAGCACGCGUGCCGCGUGCUCAGAAUGUUGCAUUAUUAAUAAUUAUGGACUUUAAUUAGUAAAGAGCAUACAUUUAUUACUUUUUUUAUUCUCUCCAAACCGAA